rnacentral:rRNA from 1 species
CCGCCGCCGUAACACAUGCAAGUCGAACGAAGUCUUCGGACUGAGUGGCGGACGGGUGAGUAACGCGUAAGAAUCUAACUUCAGGACGGGGACAACAGUUGGAAACGACUGCUAAUACCCGAUGUGCCGCAAGGUGAAACUUAUAUGGCCUGAAGAAGAGCUUGCGUCUGAUUAGCUAGUUGGUGGGGUAAGAGCCUACCAAGGCGACGAUCAGUAGCUGGUCUGAGAGGAUGAGCAGCCACACUGGGACUGAGACACGGCCCAGACUCCUACGGGAGGCAGCAGUGGGGAAUUUUCCGCAAUGGGCGAAAGCCUGACGGAGCAACGCCGCGUGAGGGAGGAAGGUCUUUGGAUUGUAAACCUCUUUUCUCAAGGAAGAAGUUCUGACGGUACUUGAGGAAUCAGCCUCGGCUAACUCCGUGCCAGCAGCCGCAGUAAAAC